rnacentral:rRNA from 1 species
AUACGAAGGGGGCUAGCGUUGUUCGAAGGGGUUACUGGGCGUAAAGCGCAUGUAGGCGGACAUUUAAGUCAGGGGUGAAAUCCCGGGGCUCAACCUCGGAACUGCCUUUGAUACUGGGUGUCUAGAGUGUGGAAGAGGUAAGUGGAAUUCCGAGUGUAGAGGUGAAAUUCGUAGAUAUUCGGAGGAACACCAGUGGCGAAGGCGGCUUACUGGUCCAUUACUGACGCUGAGGUGCGAAAGCGUGGGGAGC